rnacentral:rRNA from 1 species
GUGUCAGCAGCCGCGGUAAUACGGAGGGUGCGAGCGUUGUCCGGAAUCAUUGGGUGUAAAGGGUGCGUAGGCGGGCUGCUAAGUCUGGGGUGAAAUCCUGCCGCUUAACGGUAGAAUGGCCCCCGAUACUGGCAGUCUUGAGUACAGAAGAGGUCGGUGGAAUUCGUAGUGUAGCGGUGAAAUGCAUAGAUAUUACGAAGAACACCAGUGGCGAAGGCGGCCGGCUGGUCUGUAACUGACGCUGAGGCACGAAAGCGUGGGGAGCGAACAGGAUUAGAUACCCUGGUAGUCCACGCUGUAAACGAUGUAUGCUAGGUGUCGGCCUUUCGGGGUCGGUGCUGCAGUUAACGCAGUAAGCAUACCACCUGGGGAGUACGUCGGCAACGAUGAAACUCAAAUGAAUUGACGGGG